ACCAAGGUUGGAAAAGACAUCCAAGAUCAUCUACUCCAACCAUCCACGUACCACUAAUAUUUGACCUUAUUUUUACAAGUUCUAAAAUGAAGUUUUGCUUAUUGCUUUUUACAUGCAGGAAACUAAAAUGUGUCUCAGUCUAAGGUGAUGUUUCAGAAAGUUAUAAUUUCCAGCAAGCUGAGAAUUCUGUUCCAAUUCUCUCACUUUCUCCAGAUUAGGAGUGUUUUGUUAAUCCACUUCAUACGCAGCAACCAAGAGGAGGAUCUCUUCCCUUGGGAUGUUAUGCUUAUAUAAACGAGCUGAAAGUCUCCCACAACCAAAGGAGAGUUUCUUGUGCCAUGAGGGUAUGAGAAGCAAAGAUUGUGUUCAAGGCAACCUGCAGAUACUUAUCACUAUCAGAGAUGGGGACAUGGUUGGAUUCUGGGUGGAAAGUAGGGAAUAAUGACAGCAUGGAGAAGCCAGCGCCCAGAGGACAGAGGAAUGUGGCAGCAAGCACCUGACUCUCCAGACAAGAAGGGAUGAAAAGGUAGUUGAUCUUCAUCUAAAUAUCAGCAAUCAUGCGUAUAAAACUCAUCUGUUCAAACGCCUACAUUCUCUGUUUGGUUUACUAACAAGAACAAGUAAAAGUGAUAGCAGCAAAUAAUAAAUAGCUGCUCUUUUAACGUCCAGAUGCUGCAACUUGUCUGUACCCUGAGAAACAGAGCUAAAAAGGCAGCUUCCAAAGGAUCAUCGAGUCAAAACAUCAACUCCUCUGAAAGUUUUCAAUGUUAAAGCAUGAGUGAAUCUUGUGGCUUCAAGCAACAGAGGUAAAGGAUGUUCCCAAAGGGUGACAUGAUCAAGAUCCCAGGGCCACAGAGGAAGCAUCCUCACCAAGUCAGGAGCUACUCUGCCUUCUCUGUCUUCCUAGAAAUCAUAAUAGUCUUCAGUAAGACAGUAAUUACUGCAAGAAGUCCUACUGAGUCCUCUUAGGAAAACUUCAGUUUCCUCUCAAGCACGCACAAGGAAGCUCAGAAGCAAAUGACUGAUGGCUCAUAGCUUGAUUUGAUCUGCUGCUACAAGUAAGCGGUGGCUGGCAAAGCUCACUGGCAUCUCUCAGGUGCAAAUCCAUGUUGGGUUGUUUCAAAGAUUUCCUGAGAAAACUGAGCUUAGAUUAUAUCAUUAAAAGCUAUCUGAGAGGUGUUUCAAUUAUACUAACGUACUGUAUAACUACUGAAGAUAUCCAUAUGCUGCUCAUGUAUAAAAAUGUAAAUAGAUCAUCUGUUGGGUAGCUGAGAUUCUUCAGUUACAUCUAAAUGGUGUGGCUAUCUGAGGUGUAUUUGGAUAUAAAGGCUUCUUCCUGCCUGAAGAUGAAUUUAGUAAAUAAUUUCCAUUU
rnacentral:lncRNA from 7 species